UACAGUAUAUACAUUAUUACUACAGUAUAUACAUUAUUACUACAGUAUAUACUUUAUUCCAGGCCAAUUGUAAAGUAUUACAGAAAGGGAUACAUAUGGAACAGAAUUUGUUUCUACAAUACAUGUACAUAUUAUCUCUGAAAAGAUUUAGAGAUCAUCGUUACUGAAUAUAAAUUCAUUUGUAGACGCCUGCAUUUAGACAAUACCUAAAUACCAAUCCUUUAAACGUGAGUGAUUAGUACUACGCAAACAGUCAACAGUUAACUAUAGUCUUAACAAAACUAGCUAAGAAUUAAAAAAUUAAAAAUUAAAUGAAAAAUUUAAAAAAAAAUCACACUUACAUGACAAAUACAUCAUUUAUUCAACCACCAACUUUAACAAGUUAAGUCACUGUAUUGUUCUCUUGUUCCGGAAGAAUCACGGAAUCAUGUCUGUUCUAUUCUAGAACUCCUAGAAUCCAUUUAGAAUCCUCAGUUUAGUUCAUCACAACGACGGUCUAGACACCUCUGUUACCGUGAAACCCUACCUUACUGACAUAUAUUCUCAUUAGCUUAUACAUACAUGUGUAUUAUAGUCAGACAGAUGGACAGAGGUUGAUAAUAACAAAUCAUUUUGUAGUUUUUUUUCGCCCGUGAAAUUAGAUUCAGUAUCAGUUGAAAGAAGAAUCACUAGAAGAAAUAAAAUAAUAAUAAUAAUAAUAAAAUAACUCUUUGGAAUCUGUCACAUCACAACAAUUCCUGACUGUAAAACCAUAGCUGGUUGUUUUUCCAUAAGGAGAAAUUCUGCCUGUACACCAACUAAAGCACACAUACUGUAACUCACAUUUUACCAUUGAUUCAAAUCAAAGUGUAACCUCUAACCUUACCUCUCUAGCCAUCAUGACAUGCUCUUCUAACCAAACAGGUCCUAACCACCAUCUUGUUUCAGCAGCAAAGCAGGUCUACAACUGGGCAGUAAGGGACAUCCAUAGACUGCCUUUCAGACACGGAGACAAUGGCCGGCUCCUAAAAUUCACCCUAUUCCCUAUAUAUAGCAGUGCACUGUGAAGGGAAUAGGGUGCCAUUCAGGAUGCAGAUAUAUCAAACCAGCCCUUAUUGAUCCAAAGUGCCUAUUGUCCUUCUUUUAAGUUCGAUUUUUUUUUUUUUUUGGGGGGGGUAUUGAUUAGGAAUAUCUUAACGUAAUAGUGAACGAAUGAAAGCAGAGCGUGUGAUCGAUAAGGAUACAAUUACACCAAUAUUGAUCAAAUCGUUAAAAAUCCUCACCUGCUGAGAGACAACUUGUAACGCAACUAAAGUAAAACCAAGAAUCUGUUUGAUCUAUAAUACAUCAUGUAAUAACCUAAGAAACAUAGAAGAUUAUUAAAAGAUAAAAACAUCAGGCUGUAAUGUAAAGAAGAUUAAGAAAUACGAAAGAAAGAACACAGUCAUAGUAACACAUGUUUUUAUAAAAACCUUUAACAACAGAAAUAUACUUUCGAUUAUUAAACAUUAGGGUAAGUAAAGGAAAGUGUGGUUUGUCCGUCAAUAAUACAAUUUCUACGAUACAUCAUUAUUGCUUGACGUGACGAUACACACUACAAUACACUACAAUACACUACAAUACACUACAAUACACUACAAUACACUACAAUACACUAUAAUACACUACAAUACACUACAAUACACUACAAUACACUACAAUACACUACAAUACACUACAAUACACUAUAAUACACUACAAUACACUACAAUACACUACAAUACACUACAAUACACUACAAUACACUACAAUACACUAUAAUACACUACAAUACACUACAAUACACUACAAUACACUACAAUACAGAAAACUUGGCAUUCCUUUGUUUUUUCCCUCUUAUUCUCUCAAAACAAUACAACUGAAGGCACUUGAUUUGACAAUGAAAGGUUUAACUUCUAGACAUGCUGGCACAGCCAAGCAGCAGUAUGGUAUAGUAUACAAGGUACCCAACCCAGGCAACAGCCCAUCCCCCAUCACCACCACACAGUCCUAACUGGGACUCCAUCUUGUAUAACCUAGGCUGUGUCCCAAAUGGCACCCUAUUCCCUAUAUAGUACACUCUUUUUGACCAGUGGCCACAGAGCUCUGGUCAAAAGUAGUGCACUAUGUAGGGAAUCAGUGCCAUUUGGAAUGUAGCCCUAACUUAACCUAACUUAACCUAACCUAACUUAACCUAACCUAACUUAAACCUAACUUAAACUAACUUAAACCUAACUUAACCUAACCUAACU
rnacentral:lncRNA from 1 species